rnacentral:ncRNA from 1 species
UUAGCUAUUUUAGAUAGGUUUGUAUUCAUAAAAUCGUGGAUACAAACACAACAGCGUUUGUAUCUAUGAUGGCUAGAGGAUUUUGAGUUGACAAAAGGCCGCAUAGAUCGAUAAAAAUCUAUAGCGAGCCUACUGAUAAAUUUCAAUGAUGUAGACACUUAUAAAGGUGUUCGCUAUAGUUUUUUAACUUAGCGG